rnacentral:rRNA from 1 species
GACGAACCGUACGAACGUUAUUCGGAAUCACUGGGCUUAACGGGUGCGUAGGCUGCGCAGCAAGUUGGGUGUGAAAUCCCUCGGCUUAACCGAGGAACUGCGCCCAAAACUGCUGUGCUCGAGGGAGACAGAGGUGAGCGGAACUUAGGGUGGAGCGGUGAAAUGCGUUGAUAUCCUAAGGAACACCGGUGGCGAAAGCGGCUCACUGGGUCUCUUCUGACGCUGAGGCACGAAAGCUAGGGGAGCGAACGGG